ACAAGCUUAAGCAGACGCGUUCCCGCUCGUUUGAAUGAACGACUGCUUUGUCUUCGCUCCCCCUGGUGGCCAGAAGCAGGAAAAGAGCUGCUACCGAAAAGAAUAGAGACAGAUGGGAAUUCUUGAGUUGCACCGAAUUACUCCCUCACAACAUGGAAGAGGCUGGUUGAGUUCUGCAUGGUCCUGGGUAAUAGAGAGGAACCAAUCUUGCCAUCCCAGGCAAAUUUUACUUCUCCUUGCCCCUGCUCUGGAUCACGGGUCGAAGUAAAUUAUGUCGUUGAAGGAAAAUGUGGACAGUGGACUGGCCACCCCUGUGGAAACCCAUAAAUGCCAGAACCUGGUGAUGAUGGAGACGACUCACAUGUACCAUCUUUGCUCCCACUACUUCCCGCUGAGAAGACCCCUCUUACUGAUUCUUUCUUCAGCGAACACUGCUCAGCUUUCAAACUGAGCUCAAGAAUCACUCCAGGAAGCCUUCCUUAACCAUCUGAUUAAAAAUUCUGUUUACUAGA